UACGGAAGGCAGCAGUGGGGAAUAUUGCACAAUGGGCGAAAGCCUGAUGCAGCUAUGCCGCGUGUAUGAAGAAGGCCUUAGGGUUGUAAAGUACUUUCAUCGGGGAGGAAAAACAAAACUAAUAAUUUUAUUUCUUGACGUUACCCGAAAAAGAAGCACCGGCUAACUCCGUGCCAGCAGCCGCGGUAAUACGGAGGGUGCUAGCGUUAAUCAGAAUUACUGGGCGUAAAGAGCACGUAGGUGGUUUUUUUAAGUCAGAUGUGAAAUCCCUGGGCUUAACCUAGGAACUGCAUUUUGAAACUGAAAUACUAGAGUAUCGUAGAGGGAGGUAGAAUUCUAGGUGUAGCGGUGAAAUGCGUAGAUAUCUGGAGGAAUACCUGUGGCGAAAGCGGCCUCCUAAACGAAUACUGACACUGAGGUGCGAAAGCGUGGGGAGCAAACAGGAUUAGACUACC
rnacentral:rRNA from 1 species